GAUGAACGCUAGCGGCAGGCUUAAUACAUGCAAGUCGUGGGGCAGCGCAGUGUAGCAAUACAUGGGCGGCGACCGGCAAACGGGUGCGGAACACGUACACAACCUUCCUACAAGUGGGGAAUAGCCCAGAGAAAUUUGGAUUAAUACCCCGUAACAUAUAAAGAUGGCAUCAUUUUAUAUUAUAGCUACGGCGCUUGUUGAUGGGUGUGCGGCUGAUUAGGUAGUUGGCGGGGUAAUGGCCCACCAAGCCUGCGAUCAGUAGCUGAUGUGAGAGCAUGAUCAGCCACACGGGCACUGAGACACGGGCCCGACUCCUACGGGAGGCAGCAGUAAAGGAAUAUUGGACAAUGGGCGCAAGCCUGAUCCAGCCAUGCCGCGUGAAGGAUUAAGGUCCUCUGGAUUGUAAAC
rnacentral:rRNA from 1 species